UCCAACUUUAGGCUUUUUUUGCGCUGCUCUCUGGCAAACACACUGCACACCGUCAAGGAAGGAGGAUCUACUGCUGAGGUUUUCUUAGAGGGAUUUGAACUGCGAGUUUUAGGGUCUGUAAGGUGUGACAUCUUACCUUGUGUUUACACAAUACCGGAUUGUGUACAAAAAUAUUUAAAAGAUGUGGUUGUGGAUUUUGAUUAGCCUUGAGAUCAUCACAAAGGUUUACGGGUAUACAAAUGGUAUAUUCCUAGAGGCGUGUGACUCCAUGUUACCUGUACAUCAAAUUCGACCUGGGAUAUUCAAUAAACCGCAGGAAACUGAACCACCCUUUACGAUCACUUACAAACCUGGCCAAUAUGGAGAACCUAUCACAGUUUUUCUCAAGAGCAAGCAAUCCAAUAAGUUCAUUGGAUUUAUGUUGGAGGCUCGAAAGAGGGGCAUGGAGAACGAUGGCCCUCCUGUUGGGAAAUUCAUCGUGCUUGAGCCUACUCAGACUCGACUCCAGUCAUGCAAUAGAUUACCGAACAACGCUGUUAGUCAAAGGACCAAUUCACAGAAGAGUUUGUUUGCAGUAAACUGGACGGCACAGGGAGAAGACUUAAACUACACUUUAAGAGCCACAUUUCUCGAGUGGUAUGAAACUUUCUGGGAACCAGUGGAUUUAAAGGUCGAUUUACCCCCACCCCCCCCGCCAACAACAACGUCUACGCCAACUACUGCAAUGCCAACAACAACGUCUACGCCAACUACUGCAAUGCCAACUACUACGAUGCCAACUACUACGAUGCCAACUACUACGAUACCAACUACUACGAUGCCAACUACUACGAUACCAACUACUACGAUGCCAACUACUACGAUACCAACUACUACGAUGCUUACUACUACGAUGCCAACUACUACGAUACCAACUACUACGAUGCCAACUACUACGAUGCCAAUUACUACAUUACCAACUACUACGAUGCCAACUACUACGAUACCAAC